rnacentral:rRNA from 1 species
CCACGAUGGCGGCGACGGCGGCGGCUGCUGCUACUUCGCCCACCUGACGCUUCUCCUUCGCCACCUCCUCGACGACGGCCUGCUCCUCGCCGCUGACGCCCUCCACCUCCCGGCCACCCUCGCCUCCGGCGCCACCGCCAAGUCCCCUCCCAAUUUGUGCGCACGCCCCGACGGCCUGCUGCGGAACUUCGACGUCCUCGCCGG